AAGGGUAUGGCUCAGUGGUAGAGCGCAUGUUCAGCACGCUUGAGGUCCUGAGUUCAGUCCCCAGUGUCUCUA
rnacentral:tRNA from 1 species